rnacentral:rRNA from 1 species
GUUGGUGAGGUAACGGCUCACCUAGGCAAUGAUAGGUAGGCGGCCUUAACGGGUGGUCGCCCACACUGGGAUUGAGAUACGGCCCAGACUCCUACGGGAGGCAGCAGUCGAGAAUAGUCUACAAUGGUCGGAAGACUGAUAGUGCGACGCCGCGUGAACGAUGAAUCCCUUCGGGGUGUAAAGUUCUUUUAUAUGUGAGCAGUGCUUCUUAUAUUAAGAGUAUGGGGAGAGAGAUAUUAGCAUAUGAAUAAGCAACGGCUAACUCCGUGCCAGCAGCCGCGGUAACACGGGGGUCGCGAGCGUUGUCCGGAAUUACUAGGCGUAAAGGGCAGGCAGGCGGAUCCAUAAGUUUAUCGUUUAAGGCGUCGGCUUAACCGGCGUAGGGCGGUAGAUACUGUGGAUCUGGAAUGCGGUUGGGGAAGACAGAAUUCCUGGUGUAGCGGUGGAAUGCGCAGAGAUCAGGAGGAAUACCGAAGGCGAAGGCAGUCUUCCAAGCCGUUAUUGACGCUCAACUGCGAAGGUGUGGGUAUCAAACAGGAUUAGAUACCCUGGUAGUCCACACAGUAAACGAUAAUCACUGGGUGUCGGGUUCGCAUAGGAUUCGGU